AAGAGAAGUUUGAUGGAAGAUUUUUGUUGGCUUUUGGAAAAUUCAAGGCAAGAAUGUGUUUAUACAAUAAGAAUUAUGCAAGCUGUUGGUUAGCAUAUGAGUGUUGAUUAACAUUGGUACAAUUUGUAUUUUAAAAUUAGUGGUUGAAGAACUUCUUUCUAACGUGGAAGUUGCACUAUAAGUUUUAGUCUGAUAUUUGACAUGUAAAAAUUAUUAAAGUGAUUUAGCUUCAAUUGAAAUAUA
rnacentral:lncRNA from 1 species